rnacentral:rRNA from 1 species
UCGAGCGGAACGACUUAACUGAACCUUCGGGGAACGUUAAGGGCGUCGAGCGGCGGACGGGUGAGUAAUGCCUAGGAAAUUGCCCUGAUGUGGGGGAUAACCAUUGGAAACGAUGGCUAAUACCGCAUGAUGCCUACGGGCCAAAGAGGGGGACCUUCGGGCCUCUCGCGUCAGGAUAUGCCUAGGUGGGAUUAGCUAGUUGGUGAGGUAAUGGCUCACCAAGGCGACGAUCCCUAGCUGGUCUGAGAGGAUGAUCAGCCACACUGGAACUGAGACACGGUCCAGACUCCUACGGGAGGCAGCAGUGGGGAAUAUUGCACAAUGGGCGCAAGCCUGAUGCAGCCAUGCCGCGUGUGUGAAGAAGGCCUUCGGGUUGUAAAGCACUUUCAGUCGUGAGGAAGGUGGUAGUGUUAAUAGCACUAUCAUUUGACGUUAGCGACAGAAGAAGCACCGGCUAACUCCGUGCCAGCAGCCGCGGUAAUACGGAGGGUGCGAGCGUUAAUCGGAAUUACUGGGCGUAAAGCGCAUGCAGGUGGUUUGUUAAGUCAGAUGUGAAAGCCCGGGGCUCAACCUCGGAAUAGCAUUUGAAACUGGCAGACUAGAGUACUGUAGAGGGGGGUAGAAUUUCAGGUGUAGCGGUGAAAUGCGUAGAGAUCUGAAGGAAUACCGGUGGCGAAGGCGGCCCCCUGGACAGAUACUGACACUCAGAUGCGAAAGCGUGGGGAGCAAACAGGAUUAGAUACCCUGGUAGUCCACGCCGUAAACGAUGUCUACUUGGAGGUUGUGGCCUUGAGCCGUGGCUUUCGGAGCUAACGCGUUAAGUAGACCGCCUGGGGAGUACGGUCGCAAGAUUAAAACUCAAAUGAAUUGACGGGGGCCCGCACAAGCGGUGGAGCAUGUGGUUUAAUUCGAUGCAACGCGAAGAACCUUACCUACUCUUGACAUCCAGAGAACUUUUC